UGUGAUGCUGCUUGUUCUCUACGCUCGCGCACAAGAAACGGUGGAGGCAGCUGGGAAAGUUUGAAAUGCAGGGGAAUUUGUAUCACCUAACUAAAGCCGAGUUGGAUGACGUUACUACAUUGGAGGUACAUUUUAUGGGUUAUGGUGCCAUUAUUCAUUUAAUGCUUGCAUUGGUAUGAUGUGAAUGUAAUUUUGUCACAACCACAAGCUGGUGAUUUGUUUAUCCCAAUCUACAUGGAUUGUUCCUACAAAGUAAUUUGGAUAAAAUCCUUUACAAGUAAAAGUGUGAAAAAAUCCAAGAAAACAGAAGGGUGGCAUAUCCUUUACUGGACAAACUGCUUCUUUCCUUUACCAAUUGAAAACAAACUAAACCUACAAUGAAAGGGUGCAGCAAUUAAUGACACCAAAAGAUCCCAAUCUACAAAACACAACAGAAAUAGCAAAUAAAUAAAACGGAUCUUAUUUCCAUCCCUCAAUAUUCUACCCACAGAACAUAAACCCAUAUAGUCUUAUUCCCAUCUUGACUCUUUCCAGGUUUCACUUCAUAUCUUCCUCCACCAAUGUGGUAGCAGCCAUCGUCAAAAUUCAGAGCAUAACUUGAAGGAUCAUACUGGAAAUUGACCUGCUGUUUGCCUCCAUUCUUGACAGCCUUCUUCACUGCAGCCUUCACUCUCCAAAACAGGCUCUUGCAUUGCUUCUUGCAGAAACUAUUCUUCCAUUCUAACCUCCCAAUCAAACCCAUAUUCACAAGCAUAAAAGUCUAGAUUCAACCUCAACGCCAACAACCCAAAAACAGAUAUAGCUUGAAGAACUAAGAAGCUGACUAGAAAAUGUCUCUGGCUUCUUAUAAAGGAAGAGAAGCACUGAAGGACGGUAACUUGCAAGAGAAGGAGAUGUAUGAGAAUAAAAACAACCCCUAUAAAACGCCUCAACUUUUGAAGGGUAGGGAAACAAGAAUGGAUGGAGAAAUAAGAAAAAGCAAAUCUUUUGGGCGUUUCAAAGAAGCUGCUGCUACAGGUUCAGCUGCCAGUCUCCACAGCCAUGAGCUUUAUUUAGCAAGACAUUGGAAGGCUCAAAUUCCAUCAUCUAAUACAAGAAAAGGUUGAGAGAGAAGAAGAGAAAGAAAGACAAUAAAAAA
rnacentral:misc_RNA from 1 species